UUGGAGUUGCUGCCGGUGGCUGCUCUGGCUCUGCACUGCAGCACCUGGAUUUCUCUGGGUCUCUGCCAUUCCCCAGGUGCCAGGUGAGGAUGGUUUCACAGGAGCACUUGUCCUGGCCGAGGAGAGAGAGAAUUGGGUUACAGCAGACCCCCCAUCCUUGGGGCCUCUCCUGCCUUGUGUGAGUGGUGCCAACGCCUCUGCAGUGCCACAGGGGUGGCUGUGCCUUCCUUCUUUUGUUUGUCUUUUGUUUGCCCCCCUCCCCCCCUUCUUUACUGCCCCUCUGCUCCCUUGUAACAUGGUAGGGGCAGAUCUGGUGCCUUGCCCUUUGCUGAGCCCUGCUUCAGGCUAGGCACAGGUGUGCAUACAAAGAGCUCGUGCUCAGCCAAAGCCUGAGCAGCACUUAAAUGACCCUGUGGUACAGCUGGGCAGCCUGGGCAGGUGUGUGGCACAGGGCUGAUGGCAACUUGGCCAAGUGUUGUGUUUGCAUUACAGUGCUCCCUGCCUGAAAAGGGUCCUCUGCCUUCACCUGCAGAAUCCCAUGUGAAACACAAAGGUAAGUCCAGGGUGAGGAGCUGGGACUCCUCAGGACAGCUUCCCUUCAAGUGAUUUCAGCUGUAAAACAGGGGUCAUGAUUCUUACCCGUGUCACCAGAAUUUGGGAGUCUGAUUAGCCACAUCCUCUAAAAGAAUGAAGCAGCCUUUCUGUAGAUCCUGGACCAGAGACCACAGAACAGGAGAGGCUGUCUCACAGGCAUGUAUUUAUGCUGCCCUGUUUCCCUGUGAUAUCGAUCCAGCAGCUUGCUAAGAUACAGCCCUGCCUGCUGUAGUGGUCUAAUUCAUUUUUAAGCAUCAUUAUUUUUCAUGUUGUGGUCUUCCCCUGCUUCGGGUGCUUCUCCCCACCCAUCCCCAAAAAUGCCCCAUCCCUGUCUCUAGGCGUGUGAUGCUCCCACAUGUGUGUGCAUUCCAGGGACAUGGAGAGGCAGCUUCAGCUACACUAAGCAAUUAAACUCCAGUAGCUCAGGGAUGAGCAGGAGGCCGUGAUUUUCUUUUCCUUCGCAGUAAUUGCCUCUGCAAUCAGCUUUGAUCACCCGAGAGCAGAAGAGAUGAGUGCUGCAAGUUGACAUCAGUGGUUUUAAUAUAUCCAUUUACAUAUACAGGAGCAGUGCAGCAUACAGCUUUCCAUAGCGCCUCUGACCUGAAACCAUCGCCGCUCCAUAGAUACCUCAUUUAAUUUAAUACUUCACCACCACUGCGGAAGCCGCACGAUGGGGAUGGGAGGGGGCAUAAUCAAGCCCUCACUCUCUCGCUCUCCGUGCAUGUCUGUAAAAAUGACAUGAAAGUAAUUGCUUUUGAAAAGCAAAGCAGAAAUGGCACAAUUGAUUCCACUUAAAUGAGAGGAGAAGGGGUGGGGGUGGGAGAUGCUCACCCUAAACAUGCUACCUUCCUUCCUGCUGCAAGCACAUCACUGCGAGGGGCUGCGCUGGGACACGAGAAGGGUGGGCUUGUCUGAAUGGCCUGGGAAGGAGGGAAGCUGGAGCAGACAGUGCUGCUUUGGGCAGGAUGCACCCUUGGUGACCUCGGACCCACGGGCAGAGGCUGCUCCAUGGAUCCAUUGCAUGCCCUGUUGUCACUCCUGGUGCCUGAGACCUGGCAGGGAGCUUCACUGCACUGAGAACCCGAGAAUCACUCCCAAACCCACUCACCUGCCUGGCAGCUGGGGGAGGGGGAUGAUGAGGAGACAUCAGCUCCUCUCCAUCUCUAAUGUAUCUCUCAUUAUCCCUUUUGACAAAGCUUCCUGAGCUUACGGGUUUGGAAUCUCUCCAGUCUCCUGCUGCUGGUGGAUGCUCACCCCUACACCAAGGACUCCCAGUGCCCCUCUGUGACCUGGCACGCCACUCAGCCCCCCACCAGUGGAAGCCAGGACCUGGCACCGUGGGGUGUGCACUGCCUGUGUGUGCUGAAAUACAUCUUUAAUGUAGACAUUAACAUGUUCUUGUAUUAAUUACAUGCAAAUUGAUUGUUACUAUAUUUAUUGAAUGUUGACAGCUGGGUGACAGCCUUCAAUAAAUAUGUUUUACUAAUCAGUUAGCAUUAAUUAAUAUCAAAAUCCUCUCUAGGUUUAGCAAGUCAGUGAACAUUGAUGAGGCCCCUCUGUUGCUGCCAGUGUUGUUAGAUGUUGGCAGUGCUGCUGGCAGCAGUGUGGAGCACAAGUGGGCCCAGAGGGUCCAAGGGCAGUGGUAGUGCUGGAAGGACAGAUGGACAUGUGCCCAGAGGGAGAAUUCUCCGGGAAAAAUUGCUCUUGAGACAGUUUCCCAUGCAGCAGGGCCUGCCUGAGGGCAGGAGGGCUGCUUGAGCCGAGGUGCUGGUCGCCAGGCAGUGCUUGCAGGAAGCUCUGGUGGCCCCUUUCUCCAGGACACAGGGCUGCUUCCAGGUGUGUGUGAGCAGCAGAAGCAGGAUGCUGUUCUCACCUGCACACAGGACCCUUGGUUAUGGCAGGGCAUGGCACAAUCCCCAAUGCAGGGCAGUUCUUCUGUUGAAUUUAAACCACCAAGCAGACCAACUCCUAAGCUUUGUGGCCAGCAUUUUCUCUUGCCCCCACAUCCUUAGCAGGGCAGGAUCCAUACAGUGCCUGCUGGCUGAGGCUUCUCUCACCCGUCACAAGAAGAUGAGCAGCAUCCCUGAGGAGUAAAUGGCCAAGGCAUUGAGGAGAAUGCUCCAUGCUGGGGUCAAUACUUGGGUCUUGCCAUGCUAAUGCUCCUUGGUUGACAUUUAUGAUUCCUCCCUGCUUCUGCCCUGUGCAAACUCCUUGGAGCUGGGACACCAAGAAGUGAAUACGCUGAACCUUAGAGCUGCUCCUGUGCAGGCAGAAUGGGAGGGAGAUGGAUGGGCUGUGGGGUUCCUGAGCUCCUUCUGCUCUGCUCCGAGGACAGCAGACACAGGGAAGAGCUCAACAUGCAGCUGCAACAGGAGCUGGGUGUUUGGUUACUGGUUACACUAAUUUUGGUCUUGCUCAGCUGCUCUUUGCUUCCCUCACCACGGGAGUGUGACGCCCCUUCUGUGAGCAGAGCAGAAGGUGCCCCAGUCAGCAGAGCCUCUGCUUUCCUGAGCUGGACAUGUCUGUCUGCUGCGGGCAAGCAUGUCAAAUCACACCUACCACAUUGGCUUCCUGUCCCCAGAACAUCAGAUUUUUGCAGCUAAUGUGUUGGGGGUGUCUCUUCCUGCCAAUCCCCACCCCCAGCAGCAUCAGCUGGAUGCUCAAGAGCAGAGGAUCUAUCAACUGCAGACCAAGCAGAGGGAGAGGCAGGCAGACCUGGAGCAGAAAUGCAGCCAGAACAGCAGCUCAGCCAGGACCUGGGGGCCAGCCACCAGCUACAGAAGGGAGCUUGGAGCAGCUUGUUCCAGGAGAAGACAGUGCAAUUUGGUGAUUGAUUCCUGAAGUCUGGUUGGUGCAUCCAUGCUGAGGUACAGAGGCAAAAGAUCCCACGGUGCUUCCCAGAAACUCUGCCAGCCUCAGCCAUCCGCAGCCCAUGGGCUCCGGAAGCAGAAAUGGGGUCUUGCAUUCCAUCAAUAUUCCCAGGGUGAGCAGGAAGAAAUCGGGCUACCUAACCGCCUGUACCCACUGUCAUGAAAAUUUCACCCUGUCUCUCUGAAAUCAGCAACUUGUCUGACUAAGAUAGCUUCAGACUAUGGUUUGGCUGGGCUUGAAGACAUAAAGAGAUGGCAAAUGCAUAUCCUCCACUGGCAGUCAGUCCCUUCACAUCACUCCUGCUGUUUUGGUUUUUUUCUCUCAUGACUGCUAUGCCAACAGGGCUAAUGAAGCUUUCUAUGCAGCAGCAA